rnacentral:rRNA from 1 species
UACGUAGGGGGCAAGCGUUGUCCGGAUUUAUUGGGCGUAAAGAGCGUGUAGGCGGUUUGGUAGGUCCGUUGUGAAAACUCGAGGCUCAACCUCGAGACGCCGAUGGAAACCAUCAGACUAGAGUCCGGAAGAGGAGAGUGGAAUUCCUGGUGUAGCGGUGAAAUGCGCAGAGUAUCAGGAAGAACACCCGUGGCUAAGGCGGC